GGGGCUAUAGCUCAGCUGGGAGAGCGCCUGCCUUGCACGCAGGAGGUCUGCGGUUC
rfam:Oceanospirillum linum strain ATCC 11336 NODE_288_length_255_cov_3974.42, whole genome shotgun sequence.